rnacentral:rRNA from 1 species
AGCAGCCGCGGUAAUUCCAGCUCCAAUAGCGUAUAUUAAAGUUGUUGCAGUUAAAAAGCUCGUAGUUGAAUUUCGGGGUUAGUAGGUUGGUCAUGCCUCUGGUAUGUACUGGUCUCACUGAUUCCUCCUUCCUGAUGAACCUUAAUGCCAUUAAUUUGGUGUUKYGGGGAAUUUGGACUGUUACUUUGAAAAAAUUAGAGUGUUUAAAGCAAGCUAACGCUUGAAUACAUUAGCAUGGAAUAAUGAAAUAGGACGUUCGAUCCUAUUUUGUUGGUUUCUAGGAU